rnacentral:misc_RNA from 1 species
GAUGAAGAACGUAGCGAAAUGCGAUAAGUAAUGUGAAUUGUAGAAUUCAGUGAAUCAUCGAAUCUUUGAACGCACAUUGCGCCCGCCAGUAUUCUGGCGGGCAUGCCUGUUCGAGCGUCAUUUCAACCAUCAAGCCCCAGGCUUGUGUUGGGGACCUGCGGCUGCCGCAGGCCCUGAAAACCAGUGGCGGGCUCGCUGUCACACCGGGCGUAGUAGAUUUUAUCUCGCUCAGGGCGUGCUGCGGGUUCCGGCCGUUAAAAAGCCUUUUUUACCCAAGGUUGACCUCGGAUCAGGUAGGAAGACCCGCUGAACUUAAGCAUAUCAAUAAGCGGAGGA